rnacentral:misc_RNA from 1 species
AGCAUGAGGCGGUGGUCGUCAACAGUCAACAAUGCGCCAUGUCCCCGGCCGGACAAAUCUUUCUGCCGAUGCGCUCUGCUUGUGCUUUGCUCCGCUUCGUGGUCGUGGCUGCCAUCACUGAUGCUCUGUCAAAAACAUGGGUGAAGUGCGAUUACUGGUCAGGAAACCCUUUCUGUCCCCUCUUCCAUUAUUCGGUUCCAAAGACAAAGAGCCUCUCUCUCUUUCUCUCUCUCUACCUUGAGCGGCAUGCAGCUGAUUACUGCACCUUGUUUUUCUUCGUACUGAGAUUAUUGCGCGCUUUUGCCUG